AAAGUGAUGACUUGAAAAUUAAAAUGAAGAUAUUUGUGUCAUGUAUCGGAGGGGCCCUCCCGGCCUCGGGCACCUCACGCCAAGUGUAUAUAUAUAUAUAUAUAUACCCGCCGCUAGAGCCACACCUUCAGUAGGCAGGUGCACCGUCGUCAUGAAGCUGCUGGUGUUUUUUCUCUUGGGUGUCAUCACAUCCGCAGUCUCACAAUCAACCACCGUUUUCAACGUUACCGAAGGCGACUACUUCAAAUUCAAGUAUUCGGUGUUCCUCAAAGGGUUCCGGUGUCUGACCAGCGGCUCCAUCACUUACAGUAUUCGCCUCCCGAACGGCACCUUCGCUAGGGUUCGGCACAUUACUGAUGAAAACAAGUACUAGCAAAUGAAAAACCACUUCCACAUCUGGCUGAGAGUGCCUCUCUUCGGGUUGGCCAGUUACGUUGCAGUGACUGUAGAGUAGAGUAAAACUGACAUUCAAUCUGACUCACUCUUUUAGUGACUUUUUGGUGAUGAUUAGGUGACUAAUUUUCCAUUUCUCAGACAGUCACAUUCUGACUAAUUCCGCCACUGACCACCACUAGAAGUCACCAAAACACAUCUACGACUCAGUUACUACCGAGCUGUAGACACCUGGCUUAUGUCACCCUACACCUGCAGAGAACAAAACACUGAUUGGUUGACUGAUUGGAAGUUUAAUCUCGUCGCAGCAAGAUCGAGGUCAUACGACGCCGGAACAAAACAUGUACCAUGAUAUGUAGAUUAAUCAAAUACAUAAAGGGAAUUAAUGUU